rnacentral:rRNA from 1 species
GACGGAGGGUGCAAGCGUUGUUCGGAAUUACUGGGCGUAAAGCGCGGGCAGGUGGCCUUUUAAGUCCUUUGUGAAAUUCCGGAGCUCAACUCCGGAUGUGCAUAGGAUACUGGAAGGCUAGAGACUGGUAGAGGCGAGCGGAAUUCCUGGUGUAGCGGUGAAAUGCGUAGAUAUCCGGAGGAACACCGGUGGCGAAGGCGGCUUCCUGGACCGACACUGACGCUGAGGCGCGAAAGCUAGGGGAGCAAACGGG